GGCUCAAGAACGAACGCUGGCGGCAGGCCUAACACAUGCAAGUCGAGCGAACCCUUCGGGGUUAGCGGCGGACGGGUUAGUAACGCGUGGGAAUAUACCCUUUGGUACGGAAUAGCCUCGGGAAACUGAGAGUAAUACCGUAUGUGCCCUUCGGGGGAAAGAUUUAUCGCCAAAGGAUUAGCCCGCGUUGGAUUAGAUAGUUGGUGGGGUAAUGGCCUACCAAGUCUACGAUCCAUAGCUGGUUUGAGAGGAUGAUCAGCAACACUGGGACUGAGACACGGCCCAGACUCCUACGGGAGACAGCAGUGGGGAAUCUUAGACAAUGGGCGCAAGCCUGAUCUAGCCAUGCCGCGUGGACGAUGAAGGCCUUAGGGUUGUAAAGUCCUUUCAGAUGGGAAGAUAAUGACGGUACCAUCAGAAGAAGCCCCGGCUAACUCCGUG
rnacentral:rRNA from 1 species